UACGUAGGGGGCAAGCGUUGUCCGGAUUUAUUGGGCGUAAAGAGCGUGUAGGCGGCUUGGUAGGUCCGCUGUGAAAACUCGAGGCUCAACCUCGAGAUGUCGGCGGAAACCACUUGGCUAGAGUCCGGAAGAGGAGAGUGGAAUUCCUGGUGUAGCGGUGAAAUGCGCAGAUAUCAGGAGGAACACCAAUUGCGAAGGCAGCUCGCUGGGACGUUACUGACGCUGAGGCGCGAAAGCGUGGGGAGCGAACAGG
rnacentral:rRNA from 1 species